AUUGAACGCUGGCGGCAGGCCUAACACAUGCAAGUCGAGCGGAUGAGGGAAGCUUGCUUCCCGAUUUAGCGGCGGACGGGUGAGUAAUGUCUAGGAAUCUGCCUAUUAGUGGGGGAUAACGUUCCGAAAGGAACGCUAAUACCGCAUACGUCCUACGGGAGAAAGUGGGGGAUCUUCGGACCUCACGCUAAUAGAUGAGCCUAGGUCGGAUUAGCUAGUUGGUGAGGUAACGGCUCACCAAGGCGACGAUCCGUAGCUGGUCUGAGAGGAUGAUCAGCCACACUGGAACUGAGACACGGUCCAGACUCCUACGGGAGGCAGCAGUGGGGAAUAUUGGACAAUGGGCGAAAGCCUGAUCCAGCCAUGCCGCGUGUGUGAAGAAGGUCUUCGGAUUGUAAAGCACUUUAAGUUGGGAGGAAGAGUUGUAAGCUAAUAUCUUGCAGCUUUGACGUUACCAACAGAAUAAGCACCGGCUAACUCUGUGCCAGCCGCCGCGGUAAGAC
rnacentral:rRNA from 1 species